CGGUAAAAAAACCUUCCGUGACCUGCCCUCACCAAAGUCGCACCCCGGAACCCAGAUCUAGCCCGCAAUCGCGCCGAACGCGGGAUGGCCAGGGGGUCUGAACGCCGGCGCGACGCCGACGGCUCCCGCGGAGAGAAGCGCCGCCGCCCGCGUCGGCCAGGGGCCUAAACGCCGGCGCGAUGCCGAGGGCUCCCGCAGCGAGAAACGCCGCCGCGCGCGCCAGCCAUGGUGCCUCAACGCCGGCGCGACGCCGAGGGCUCCCGCAGCGAGACGCGCCACCGCGCGCGAUGGCCAGGGACUCCUCGCGCAGCGCUAUGCCGCCAGAAUCUGCAGCGCCCUGCACCCAUCCUUUUUUCUCCAUUGGGUCGACCUCCCUGCUCCAUGAGGAUGGUGCAGGUGAACGACCACAGCUUCUGUACCUCCCUGACGACGAUGCGAUAUCCAUCCGGCGCGUUCGCCAGCUAUUGUGGACGUGAUGGUUGACCCCUGCUGUCGAUCGGAAGGACCUCACGGCUUGUGCUCCAUAAGGUCAAGCCAACGAAGAAGAAAUCCGAACCAUGGUGGUGGAUGCACCGCUUCUAUCCUCCCAUACCGCCUUGAAUUGUCCGUGGACUCACUAUUGGUUAGCUGUGCUCAUCUGGCCGGAAUCAGAGGUACACAGGCAGAAGAAGAAAAUGGAGCAGGAGGGAGACUCGGCGUCUCUUAGCCAUGGUUGGUGUCCAUCUGCAAAAAGCAACAUCACCUCACCACUUGAGUCCAUGUACCUGGUAUGCGUGUACGUUCUUCUUGCCGUUUGUUUCGAUUUGAUGUGCUGCGUGUUAGCUGGUAUCAUGGACCACUUUUUUUUUUGUAUUGGAUUCUUCAUUUCAGUAGGAAACAUUGUUCUAGAGGCAAAGAGUGUGCUUGAUUUAGAUGCUCAAUUGGGUCUAUAUUUUGGUCUUUGAGAUGUGCUAAACAAAAAUCCAAACUCUGUACAUCUUAAGUCGAUAUUUCUUUCCCAGUUUGAUUGUAGGUGCUAUGUGCAAAACUCGAUGUUAAAUUUAGUGCUUGAUAUGUCAUCACAAUUUUAAGAACUGAAAAAUUAUUUAUAUGAAAGUAAGAUUUGGAGAGUGAUCGUUUAGUUAUUCCAAUGUCACUAACUAUGUGGUGCUAAACAUGAUUGAGGGAUUAGUUAUUAGCGUGUAAUCAAAUUUUAAGAUUUUGAGGAUUUAAUUUUGAAGAUUUUGCAUAACUUGAAGCUCUGUUAAACUACUGAAAAAUAUAAAACGAUUUCUAUAAAAUAUAAGGUGUAAAUUUGAAAGAAGUUACCUGAGUUGUGCAGGUAGACUUUUAUCUGUACAAGCUUGAAAAGGGAUCUUAGGUAAAGUGGGAGUAUUCAAAAUAUUUUUGGUUGAGAAAUAAUGUUUAUCUUUUUCGGCCGGUAAAUGAAGCAGUUAAGUGAUGAAAUAAUCCACUAAACAUGGUAGUUUUCUAAGGGCCUGAGCUUGAGCAUUCCAUUUAUUCAGUGCAUCUCAUGCGAGUGGUAUUUAUCUUUAGAAGUAGACAGGAGUUCUCUAAGGGCAUGAUGUACCAGAAUUGGCUUACAUGAUAUGCAUGUCUUGGAUAGUGUUAUUAACCAAGAGUUAAUGAUUAUUGACUACUACUUAUCAGCUUCAAUUUUAGCCAAUAUAUAACAAAAUCAUUACAAGGAUCAUUAGUGUCUGGGCCCAUAAUAAUAUAUUCAAGGUCCAAAAGUACUAAAAUAAUCAGUGCCUGCGUCAAUAAUAAUAUAUUCACAAACCCAAAAUCAUACAAGAAUAGUCAGUGCUUGAGCCUGGGCCAACAAUAUCAUAGAUUGAGUGCUUUGUUUUCCUUUUUAGUUAGAGAUUUGUAGCUUCUUCUAAGUCUACUAACCGGUUAUACCUUAUUUCAGUUUUAGAAACAAUGCAUGAUGCAAUUUUAGAAACAAUGCAUGAUGCAAUUAUAGAUGAUGAGCAUCUCAAAAAAAAAAAGUAUAGAUGAUGAGAAGUUGGGAUCUGAAUAAAUAAUGGAUGUAUGCAACUUCUUUCCUCCAACGCAUAUAUGGGGUUCGUCCCCAGGAAAGCUCAAGCACCAUUAUACAGUACCUCCUUCAAUUCAUGCUAGCACUCGUGCAUGUACUGUGUAUCCUGAAUUGCAUGGAUCCUAAUCAUGUGUGAAGAAAUUAUUGACUCGAAGUUAUAAAGUUGAAAAUAAUUCCGUUGAAUUCCUUAUUUUGUAUGUUACAAACUAUAAAAAUAUUUACAUGCUGACUUGCUUAACUUUGCCAACCAUUUUGCUUUGCUUGCCUCCAUGGUGCACGAAAACCCGCACGCAUGAUAUCAUCCUUUAGUUUCAUAUUUUAGGUCUGCAUUUAUGUUCUUUUUUCUAAUUUGAGAUGUGUUUGUGUUUUUGUUUAUUCUGAUUGUUGUAUUUUUAGGAACCUUCUCUCCUACUGAUGGUGAAGGUUCAAUGUAUUACCUAGCGAUUAUGUCAGUUUGGCACACGUUAUCUGUUCCUUUUACCAUUAUUUUUAUCUGUGAGUAUUCCUAAUGUUGUGCUUGGACAUGUACAAUAUAUUUGUGCAAACAAGGCGAUAUCGUCAAAUGUUGUCGAAAUUUCA